CACGUAGGGUGCGAGCGUUGUCCGGAAUUAUUGGGCGUAAAGAGCUCGUAGGCGGCUUGUCGCGUCGACUGUGAAAACCCGAGGCUCAACUUCGGGCUUGCAUUCGAUACGGGCAGGCUAGAGUUCGGUAGGGGAGACUGGAAUUCCGUGGUGUAGCGGUGAAAUGCGCAGAUAAUCAGGAGGAACACCGGUGGCGAAGGCGGGUCUCUGGGCCGAUGACUGACGUGAGGAGCGAAAGCGUGGGGAGCGAACAGG
rnacentral:rRNA from 1 species